UCAAAGGUCCAAUGAUGAGUGCUUUGGGG
rnacentral:piRNA from 1 species